GAUGAACGCUGGCGGCGUGCUUAACACAUGCAAGUCGAACGGAAAGGCUCCUGCUUGCAGGGGCACUCGAGUGGCGAACGGGUGAGUAACACGUGGGUGAUCUGCCCUGCACUUCGGGAUAAGCCUGGGAAACUGGGUCUAAUACAGGAUAGGACCAUCGCUUAGUGUCGGUGGUGGAAAGUUUUUUCGGUGUGGGAUGAGCUCGCGGCCUAUCAGCUUGUUGGUGGGGUAUUGGGCUACCAAGGCGGCGACGGGUAGCCGGCCUGGGAGGGUGUACGGCCACAUUGGUCCUGAGAUACGGCCCAGACUCCUACGGGAGGCAGCAGUGGGGAAUAUUGCACAAUGGGCGCAAGCCUGAUGCAGCGACGCCGCGUUGGGGAUGACGGCCUUCGGGUUAUAAACUCCUUUCGCCAGAGACGAAGCGAAAGUGACGGUACCUGGAUAAGAAGCACCGGCUAACUACGUG
rnacentral:rRNA from 1 species